GACGAACGCUGGCGGCGUGCCUAAUACAUGCAAGUUGAGCGCUGAAGGUUGGUACUUGUACCGACUGGAUGAGCAGCGAACGGGUGAGUAACGCGUGGGGAAUCUGCCUUUGAGCGGGGGACAACAUUUGGAAACGAAUGCUAAUACCGCAUAAAAACUUUAAACACAAGUUUUAAGUUUGAAAGAUGCAAUUGCAUCACUCAAAGAUGAUCCCGCGUUGUAUUAGCUAGUUGGUGAGGUAAAGGCUCACCAAGGCGAUGGUACAUAGCCGACCUGAGAGGGGGAUCGGCCACAUUGGGACCGAGACACGGCUCAAACUCCUACGGGAGGCAGCAGUAGGGAAUCUUCGGCAAUGGACGAAAGGCUGACCGGGCAACGCCGCGUGAGUGAAGAAGGUUUUCGGAUCGUAAAACUCUGUUGGUAGAGAAGAACGUUAGUGGGAGUGGAAAGCUCAUCAAGUGACGGUAACUACCCAGAAAGGGACGGCUAACUACGUG
rnacentral:rRNA from 1 species